UGGCUCAGAUUGAACGCUGGCGGCAGGCCUAACACAUGCAAGUCGAACGGUAACAGGAAGCAGCUUGCUGCUUUGCUGACGAGUGGCGGACGGGUGAGUAAUGUCUGGGAAACUGCCUGAUGGAGGGGGAUAACUACUGGAAACGGUGGCUAAUACCGCAUAACGUCGCAAGACCAAAGAGGGGGACCUUCGGGCCUCUUGCCAUCAGAUGUGCCCAGAUGGGAUUAGCUUGUUGGUGAGGUAACGGCUCACCAAGGCGACGAUCCCUAGCUGGUCUGAGAGGAUGACCAGCCACACUGGAACUGAGACACGGUCCAGACUCCUACGGGAGGCAGCAGUGGGGCAUAUUGCACAAUGGGCGCAAUCCUGAUGCAGCCAUGCCGCGUGUAUGAAGAAGGCCUUCGGGUUGUAAAGUACUUUCAGCGGGGAGGAAGGUGUUGCGGUUAAUAACCGCAGCAAUUGACGUUACCCGCAGAAGAAGCACCGGCUAACUCCGUGCCAGCAGCCGCGGUAAUACGGAGGAUGCGAGCGUUAAUCGGAAUUACUGGGCGUAAAGCGCACGCAGGCGGUCUGUCAAGUCGGAUGUGAAAUCCCCGGGCUCAACCUGGGAACUGCAUUCGAAACUGGCAGGCUUGAGUCUUGUAGAGGGGGGUAGAAUUCCAGGUGUAGCGGUGAAAUGCGUAGAGAUCUGGAGGAAUACCGGUGGCGAAGGCGGCCCCCUGGACAAAGACUGACGCUCAGGUGCGAAAGCGUGGGGAGCAAACAGGAUUAGAUACCCUGGCAGUCCACGCCGUAAACGAUGUCUACUUGGAGGUUGUGCCCUUGAGGCGUGGCUUCCGGAGCUAACGCGUUAAGUAGACCGCCUGGGGAGUACGGCCGCAAGGUUAAAACUCAAAUGAAUUGACGGGGGCCCGCACAAGCGGUGGAGCAUGUGGUUUAAUUCGAUGCAACGCGAAGAACCUUACCUGGUCUUGACAUCCACAGAAGAAUCCAGAGAUGGAUUUGUGCCUUCGGGAACUGUGAGACAGGUGCUGCAUGGCUGUCGUCAGCUCGUGUUGUGAAAUGUUGGGUUAAGUCCCGCAACGAGCGCAACCCUUAUCCUUUGUUGCCAGCGAUUAGGUCGGGAACUCAAAGGAGACUGCCAGUGAUAAACUGGAGGAAGGUGGGGAUGACGUCAAGUCAUCAUGGCCCUUACGACCAGGGCUACACACGUGCUACAAUGGCGCAUACAAAGAGAAGCGACCUCGCGAGAGCAAGCGGACCUCAUAAAGUGCGUCGUAGUCCGGAUUGGAGUCUGCAACUCGACUCCAUGAAGUCGGAAUCGCUAGUAAUCGUGGAUCAGAAUGCCACGGUGAAUACGUUCCCGGGCCUUGUACACACCGCCCGUCACACCAUGGGAGUGGGUUGCAAAAGAAGUAGGUAGCUUAACCUUCGGGAGGGCGCUUACCACUUUGUGAUUCAUGACUGAGGUGAAGUCGUAACAAGG
rnacentral:rRNA from 1 species